GUACGGGAGGCAGCAGUGGGGAAUAUUGCGCAAUGGGCGAAAGCCUGACGCAGCGACGCCGCGUGGGGGAUGACGGCCUUCGGGUUGUAAACCUCUUUCAGCAGGGACGAAGCGAAAGUGACGGUACCUGCAGAAGAAGCACCGGCCAACUACGUGCCAGCAGCCGCGGUAAUACGUAGGGUGCAAGCGUUGUCCGGAAUUAUUGGGCGUAAAGAGCUCGUAGGCGGUCUGUCACGUCGGCUGUGAAAUCCCGAGGCUCAACCUCGGGUCUGCAGUCGAUACGGGCAAACUAGAGUAUUGCAGGGGAGACUGGAAUUCCUGGUGUAGCGGUGAAAUGCGCAGAUAUCAGGAGGAACACCGGUGGCGAAGGCGGGUCUCUGGGCAAUAACUGACGCUGAGGAGCGAAAGCGUGGGGAGCGAACAGGAUUAGAUACCCUAGU
rnacentral:rRNA from 1 species